rnacentral:rRNA from 1 species
CCCCUAGAUGUUCUGGGCCGCACGCGCGCUACACUGAACAGUUCAACAAGUCUUAACCUUGGCCGAUAGGUCUGGGUAAUCUUUGAACGCUGUUCGUGAUUGGGAGAGACCUUUGCAAUUAUGGGUCUUCAACGAGGAAUUCCUAGUAAACGCAAGUCAUCAGCUUGCAUUGAUUACGUCCCUGCCCUUUGUACACACCGCCCGUCGCACCUACCGAUUGAAUGGUCCGGUGAAAUCUCGGGACGGCGGCUUGGUCGCUUGCGUCCGACUGCUGAAACUUGAUUAAACCAUAUCAUUUAGAGGAAGGUGAAGUCGUAACA